UACGUAGGGGGCAAGCGUUGUCCGGAUUUAUUGGGCGUAAAGAGCGUGUAGGCGGCCAAGCAGGUCCGCUGUGAAAACUCGAGGCUCAACCUCGAGACGUCGGUGGAAACCGUUUGGCUAGAGUCCGGAAGAGGAGAGUGGAAUUCCCGGUGUAGCAGUGAAAUGCGUAGAGAUCGGGAGGAACACCAGUGGCGAAGGCGGCCUUCUGGACCAGUACUGACGCUCAUGCACGAAAGCGUGGGGAGCAAACAGG
rnacentral:rRNA from 1 species